GAGUUUGAUCCUGGCUCACAUUGAACGCUGGCGGCAUGCUUUACACAUGCAAGUCGAACGGCAGCACGGGGGCAACCCUGGUGGCGAGUGGCGAACGGGUGAGUAAUAUAUCGGAACGUACCCGGAAAUGGGGGAUAACGUAGCGAAAGUUACGCUAAUACCGCAUAUGCCCUGAGGGGGAAAGCGGGGGAUUCGUAAGAACCUCGCGUUUUCGGAGCGGCCGAUAUCGGAUUAGCUAGUAGGUGAGGUAAAGGCUCACCUAGGCGACGAUCCGUAGCUGGUCUGAGAGGACGACCAGCCACACUGGAACUGAGACACGGUCCAGACUCCUGCGGGAGGCAGCAGUGGGGAAUUUUGGACAAUGGGCGAAAGCCUGAUCCAGCCAUGCCGCGUGAGUGAAGAAGGCCUUCGGGUUGUAAAGCUCUUUCAGCCGGAAAGAAAACGCAUGGGUUAAUAACCUGUGUGGAUGACGGUACCGGAAGAAGAAGCACCGGCUNAACUACGUGCCAGCAGCCGCGGUAAUACGUAGGGUGCGAGCGUUAAUCGGAAUUACUGGGCGUAAAGCGUGCGCAGGCGGNUUUGUAAGACAGAUGUGAAAUCCCCGGGCUUACCUGGGAACUGCAUUUGUGACUGCAAGGCUAGAGUACGGCAGAAGGGGGUAGAAUUCCCGUGUAGCAGUGAAAUGCGUAGAUAUGUGGAGGAAUACCGAUGGCGAAGGCAGCAAGCGGUGGAUUAUGUGGAUAAUUCGAUGCAACGCGAAAAACCUUACCUACCCUUGACAUGCCAGGAACUUGCCAGAGAUGGCUUGGUGCUCGAAAGAGAACCUGGACACAGGUGCUGCAUGGCUGUCGUCAGCUCGUGUCGUGAGAUGUUGGGUUAAGUCCCGCAACGAGCGCAACCCUUGUCAUUAAUUGCCAUCAUUUAGUUGGGCACUUUAAUGAGACUGCCGGUGACAAACCGGAGGAAGGUGGGGAUGACGUCAAGUCCUCGUGGCCCUUAUGGGUAGGGCUUCACACGUAAUACAAUGGUCGGUACAGAGGGUUGCCAACCCGCGAGGGGGAGCUAAUCUCAGAAAGCCGAUCGUAGUCCGGAUCGGAGUCUGCAACUCGACUCCGUGAAGUUGGAAUCGCUAGUAAUCGCGAAUCAGCAUUGUCGCGGUGAAUACGCUCCCGGGUCUUGUACACACCGCCCGUCACACCAUGGGAGUUGAUUGCACCAGAAGUAGGUAGCCUAACCGCAAGGAGGGCGCUUACCACGGUGUGCUCAAUGACUGGGGUGAAGUCGUAACAAGGUAGCCG
rnacentral:rRNA from 1 species